AUUGUACGCUGGCGGCAGGCUUAACACAUGCAAGUCGAACGAUGAUCCCCAGCUUGCUGGGGGGAUUAGUGGCGAACGGGUGAGUAACACGUGAGUAACCUGCCCUUGACUCUGGGAUAAGCCUGGGAAACUGGGUCUAAUACCGGAUAUGACCUUCCAUCGCAUGGUGGUUGGUGGAAAGCUUUUGUGGUUUUGGAUGGACUCGCGGCCUAUCAGCUUGUUGGUGGGGUAAUGGCCUACCAAGGCGACGAUGGGUAGCCGGCCUGAGAGGGUGACCGGCCACACUGGGACUGAGACACGGCCCAGACUCCUACGGGAGGCAGCAGUGGGGAAUAUUGCACAAUGGGCGCAAGCCUGAUGCAGCGACGCCGCGUGAGGGAUGACGGCCUUCGGGUUGUAAACCUCUUUCAGUAGGGAAGAAGCGUAAGUGACGGUACCUGCAGAAGAAGCGCCGGCUAACUACGUGCCAGCCGCCGCAGUAA
rnacentral:rRNA from 1 species